rnacentral:rRNA from 1 species
UGGGGAAUCUUCCGCAAUGGACGAAAGUCUGACGGAGCAACGCCGCGUGAGUGAAGAAGGUUUUCGGAUCGUAAAACUCUGUCUUUUGGGGCGAACGUGAGUAUGGUGAACAAUCAUAGUCAGUGACGGUACCAAAGGAGGAAGCCACGGCUAACUACGUGCCAGCAGCCGCGGUAAUACGUAGGUGGCAAGCGUUGUCCGGAAUUAUUGGGCGUAAAGAGCGCGCAGGCGGGAUAGUCAGUCUGUUGUAAAAGUGCGGGGCUCAACCCCGUGAUGGCAAUGGAAACAGCUAUUCUUGAGUGCAGGAGAGGAAAGUGGAAUUCCCAGUGUAGCGGUGAAAUGCGUAGAUAUUGGGAGGAACACCAGUGGCGAAGGCGACUUUCUGGACUGUGUCUGACGCUGAGGCGCGAAAGCCAGGGGAGCGAACGGGAUUAGAUACCCCGGUAGUCCUGGCCGUAAACGAUGGGUACUAGGUGUGGGAGGUAUCGACCCCUUCCGUGCCGGAGUUAACGCAAUAAGUACCCCGCCUGGGGAGUACGGUCGCAAGACUGAAACUUAAAUGAAUUGAC